AGCGAACGCUGGCGGCAGGCCUAACACGUGCAAGUCGAACGAGCCCUUCGGGGCUAGUGGCGGACGGGUGAGUAACACGUGGGAACGUGCCUUUUGGUUCGGAACAACUCAGGGAAACUUGAGCUAAUACCGAAUACGCCCUUAGGGGGAAAGAUUUAUCGCCAUCGGAUGGGCCCGCGUAGGAUUAGCUAGUUGGUGAG
rnacentral:rRNA from 1 species